CAGUCUUCUAUAUUAACUGCUCUGCCGCUGCGCGAGCUCGCUACAGACGCUUAAUAGUCUUUUUUUAAAAAAAAUAUAAAUUAUACACAUCUCGUAUUUCUCUUUAUAUUAUUUUGUUCCGAGACCCCAUUAUAUUCUUAACCUUUAGGAAAAAUGGCUGACACAAAAGUCGAUACCAGCUCGGAAGUCUCCGCCAAGGUAAUGCAACUUAACUACAGUUAACGUUAUACACUGAUUUGUAGAGAUGCUGCGUUUUAUUAAUUUGAAUAAACGAACUAUAUGAAAUAUGGAAUUUGGCAUGGAAAUAGGCAUACAGCAUUACCGGAACACUGUUUGCACAUUUCGUCGGUGUUUUGACCUCUCACUGUCACUUUGAAGACUUUUCGUGGAUGGUAAAUGUUAGGUGUGCUGAAGCUGGACUUCUUUUCAGAGAUAUUUGCAACUAAAAAGCUUUUUUUUUUCGGAUUCUACGCGGGUCCUUUGUUUAUGCAAGCGGUUUUUCGGUUCCUCUUUAAAAAGUAUAGUGAGAGAGAUGGACGCAGAUGAUCGUAAGCAUCUCUGCUCCGCGUAUAUGGUUUGUUGCACGAGUUUCUUCUUAUGGCUCGAUUAUUGAAGGUGCCUCGCUCAGUCCGCGAGACGCGCUGGAUCGUCAGCCCGAUCUGUCACAAGUUACUGCAGCCCUCACGAUUCACGAUGCCACUCGGAAUGUCCCCGGUCUGUGAAAUAUGGCUACUGCAUCUUUGACCGAUAUUUCAAGUGUAAUGAAAACGGAAUUUAAUCUUAGUAAUAGGUUGUAAACAUUAGAGCCAACCUACCUCGGAUUUACGGUUUAACAGGAGCGUUAGGUCGCGCUGCCUUUUAAGUUCUGUGAAGUUCAGGUUACACUUCACUUUUUCUUAGUGAAAAUGAGAGUUCACCAUACAUUAUUGAUUAAACUACUUAGGAUAUGAGCUUUAUUGGGCUACAGUCCGGCUUUGUCAGGGUGGCUGAUAAUUUCUUGAAAGAAAAUAGGUCUCUUUUCUUCUUCCACUUUGCAUGAGCGGGUAUCGAGAUAUGGAAUUAUUUCUAUCGGCGAUGUCUGUGCGUGAACUUAUCCCGCGAAACCCCGCUGCGGAUGCAGCAGUCUGGCUGACUGAAUGAGUUCCUAUUGUAGCGCGCGGUCUGCUCCGGAGCUGAGCGCGAGCACCGAAGUUAAGGGAGCUCCGUGCAGGAUGCCUUCUCGCGUCCAGCUGUUGUAUUUUGUAUUAUUUACAUAGAUAAACCUAUUCUAGACCGACGUCUUUGAGCGUUGUGACGCGUCUCGCAGUUAUUCUAUCGUUUCGUGCAUGCGCGCCGCGUUUUUAAGACGCAGCGGCUCCGUUUAACUUUUAAAAACGCAUCUCGAGAGCCCUAGUUACGUCCCGUUCCAUUCCGUUGCGCUCCGUCUAGCUGCUUGUGAGCGCAAGAGCGCGUACUGUGUGAACGGCCCCGUACAGUCUAUCAAUGUAAGCGAUCGUUUUCCACCGGACUUAUCAAGCGUGUGGUGCUCACACAAAGAUCACAGGACUCGUCUACCAGUUGUGGGCACAACAUUUCUGACCCGUGUCUUUUUUUUUCUCUUUGUUAAGCUUUUUUUAUUAUUAUUAUUAUGAUUAUUUUUGCAGCGUCCCAGUCUUGAUAAGCUUAACGUUACGUCUCUUAAGUUUGUCUAUGAAAUGCGGAGAUGAUUUCCGCUUCAGGCUAAAAGGUUGCCUACGCUGUUUGUUUGAUCAGUAUAUGGGUCCGUAUCAUCCUGUAUGUAGUGGCAUAUGUUCAUUAUUCAUCUGUGGCUCACUGACGCUCAGUGGUGGUUACAUGUAAUUGUGACGGUGCGAGAAGGCGUUGCAGGCGUGAUGUAGACGCUAACCGGCUUAAAAGCUGAGGAUUAUGACCUACAUUUAUUAAUACGAGCAAGCUGCUGAAUGGAAGCACAUCCUGCGGUACUCAGAGCGAGGAAAGUCUGCGUUUUCAAAUCUUGAAGAUGCAGCGUGUUGCAUAAUUUGAUUUCGCUUAAGAAUAAUGGUCAUCCUCGAGGGAACAGCAAUAUAGUGCUUGAAAAAACAAAUUGUUAAAGGCCCAAUAGUACAACGCUAUUGUUCCCCACUUCUGUCUCUUUCUCUUUCUCUCACUCCCUCUCUUUCUCCGAGGUUUGUCGGUCCUGCCUCUCUUUGGUCGAGUUCGCGCUCUUAUUGGCUGAGUUAAAAUAUUCACUAAUUGUGAUCUGGGAGUUGUAGUUUUUUAGCGGGCGUGUCUUUAUCAAGCGCAGUGAUGUGGAUUAUAAACUGAACUACAGCGCGCAUUGGUGCUAACGCCGUCGACGUAUCAAAUUACAACACCUCAGUAUGGUCUUUAAACCAGGCGGGGAUGGAAGAGAAAGACAUCCAAUGAAUAAAGAGUGUGGAAGUGUCGCGUUUCAAAUGUGAAAUGAAAGCACGUUCCACAAAUAAGAGAGGAUGUGAAUUCAGCAUCGGUCUAGUUUAAUUUCCUACAUCAGAUAAGUAACUGAAGCAAUUACAAAGCCAUAUUUUUCUUCACUUAGGACCUUAAAGAAAAGAAGCAGGUUGAGGAGGCAGAAAACGGAAAGGAUGCCCCUGCUAAUGGAAAUGCGGUUAGUUUCCACAACUUUUCUCUUUUCAUUGCCCAGUACUGCUUGUAAUAGUUUCCAAAUGAACUCAGGUGCUACCCAUGAUAACUCAUAAUGUUUUAUAUUUUAGGAAAACGAGGAGAAUGGCGAUCCAGAAAAUGAAGUAGAUGAGGAGGAUGAUGAGGUGGCUGAAGAGGAUGAGGAAGAUGAUGGAGAAGGCAAGGCCUUAAAUAAACAAAUUGAAUGAUGAGAAUGAUUAAAAAAACAUCCUGCUGUAGCUCCACCUAUGUGUUGACAAUCAAGGCAUAUAAACAAAGAUGCAAUGCUAAGAAUGAGUAACUACAUUACAGGUGAUGAUGAUGAUGAUGAAGAUGAUGAUGAGGCUGAGGGUGGCACAGGAAAAAGAGCGGCCGAGGAUGAUGAUGAUGAUGAUGAGGAUGAUGUUGAAACCAAGAAGCAAAAGACUGAUGUGUAAGAAGCUACUCUGCUGGAAAUCUUCUCAUCCCUCCUUUCCUUAACUCGUCCACUGGGGGAGGAAAAACAUGGUCAUCAUCAAGUAGAGUCCAGCAUCCGUGUACACACACCUAACUGCAGAUUUUGUAGAAACAACCAAGACUUCAAAGCUCUACCUUCUUACAAAAUACUUUAAAAGGAAAAAUUUGUUUGUAUUUUUAUUUACAUUUUAUAUUUUUGUACAUAUUGUUAGGAGGUCAGCCAUUUUUGACAGUGAUCUCUGGUUACAAAACGGUGCUUUGAAGUUGAUGCUUCUCUAUGAAAUAGAUUUUACUUGUGGUUUGACCAUGUCAUGUUAUCUCAAAAGAAACUUGUAAAAAACUACGCAAAAAAAGGAAUUAAAAAUUGCAGAAAACCAUGAAAAAAAAAACAUUAAUUCAAAGCAUUCCAGUAACUUUGUGUAUGUACAUCAGUUGUAUCAUACGUAGUUGGAUUGUAUGAGAGGGCAAGGCCAAAAGAAAAGAAUUUUCUUCUUUUCUUUCUUGUCUGUUAAAUUGCUAUCUAUUUGUGGCCUGUUUGAUGUAUGUGUGAAAUUUGUUGUGCGACAAUAAACCGAAAUUUAUUUUGUGAGUUCUUAAAUUUGUUUGUUGUUGUUGUUGUUAUUGUUCUUUUUUUUUCCUUUUAUGACUUCUCAUGAGUUUUUAAUGUUGGAGCUGUAUGGGCAAGAAUAAUUGAACCAGCAUUAUCUUCAGAUGCAGUUCAUGUUUUUCAUCAGCCUGUCAAAAGUAAAUGUACAUCAAUGUAAAUUAUUCAGGCCUUUAAGACUCCAAGAUCUGGUAUAAAUUAUAUUGCGUUAAAUAAAAUUGACUGUGUGGA
ensembl:lncRNA